UUUCCCUAAAAUUGUCACGUGAAAUGAACAGAUGUCCAAGUAGUUAGUGGAUCAGAGCCCCUCCUUCCCCCGUCCAGCAGAUCCCCUCCACAGCUCGCAGUGCUGCUUCCUAUGGGCCCUGCCUGCUCCAGCCUGGAGAAGACUCUCAGAAAUCCCUCAGACUUUUGAUCCUGAAGAUGGGACUAGAUCUCAGCUAUAAGAAGUCGUGUGAGGGGCUGCUGCCUGACAAGACCUUGCAAGGAUGAAGUCCCCUGACACAUCACAUCUCUGGGAUGAGCUGUCCUAGACAUCUUUCCCACUGGCGUGUGAACCUGAUCUUACAGAAUACGAACAAACCUCGAAACUAUUUGUGGAUUCCCAAACAACUAAUAAAAUCCUAUGGAAAGGGAACUGUGAGCAGCAAUGUACUCAGAAACCUACAGCAAGAAGUCUAUUGGAGUCACACUUGAGUGUUAUUUGCUUUACUUACUACUAUGGGAUUGUAGGACAUUAGACAGUGUAAAAGUUCACUGCGGAGGUAAACAUACUAGUGGUGGGGUCAUGUAUGCAAGUGACAGCUUAAUGGAAUACAGCAAGACGGUUGAGAAAUGGAUACUGAUGGUCUUCUUAUGGAUAUAACUUCUACAGGUUGACAAAACCGUAACAAAUCAGGUAUAUUGUAUCUUGCAAUUUUAUAACUUGUAUUUUUAAGCACUUUAUCAAAAAUGUUUCCCACCAUUGAAGAGACUGAAUAAAAAAACCUAACCACGA